UACGUAGGGUGCAAGCGUUGUCCGGAAUUAUUGGGCGUAAAGAGCUCGUAGGCGGCUUGUUGCGUCGGUUGUGAAAGCCCGGGGCUUAACCCCGGGUCUGCAGUCGAUACGGGCAGGCUAGAGUGUGGUAGGGGAGAACGGAAUUCCUGGUGUAGCGGUGAAAUGCGCAGAUAUCAGGAGGAACACCGGUGGCGAAGGCGGUUCUCUGGGCCUGUACUGACGCUGAGGCGCGAAAGCUAGGGUAGCAAACGGG
rnacentral:rRNA from 1 species